rnacentral:lncRNA from 1 species
AGACGAAGCCGCCCAGAUGUGCACCCAGGGACGCACCCACAAACGCAGCGAGGCCCCCCUCGAGCUGGAGCUCGACCCCCCGGAGCAGGAGCACGGCUCGGACCCAGCCAGCGCGCGGGUGCAGCUUGAGGACGUCACGCUCAGCGGGAGACGCCAGACACAGAAGGCCACGCAGCGUGAUCCCCUGUCCAUGAAAUCUCUGUGCAGGUACCAAAGGCCCCUGAAUCGCAGUUUACAGGGAGACUCAUCUGCUAUGUGAGUUGUAACUUGAUAAAAGCUGUUACUAAAAAAGAAGAUCCUGGGAUGCUGUUCAAGGCCCAGCCCCAGGAGCCACGCGGGGAGGACGGCCGCCCACCCCUGCCAGCCUGCAGACCCGGCCACCGCUCCAGUCCUGGCCAACGCCGCCCCCUCCUGGGAGAAGCCUUGGGAUCCACAACCUCCCUUUUUAAAACAGGGAAGGGCCGGGCGCGGUGGCUCACGCCUGUAAUCCCAGCACUUUGGGAGGCCGAGGUGGGCAGAUCACAAGGUCAAGAGUUGGAGACCAGCCUGACAAACAUGGAGAAACCCCUUCUCUACUAAAAAUACCAAAAGUUAGCCUGGCGUGGUGGCGGGCGCCUGUAGACCCAGUUACUCGGGAGGCUGAGGGAAACAGGACACGUAAGGCGCCACAGCGGUGGCCACGGGAGGCUUGAAGAUGUCAGUGCAGACCCUGGAGCUGAAGGACAGGACUCUGGCCAACACCCGGCCUUUGCCACACACCAGGGGCCCGCCCGAGUCACCCUGCAGGGACGACACACCGCAGCUCAGCCUCUGCACCUGCUGAGGGGACGAGGGGAGCAGGGCCCGCCGAGGGGAGCAGGGCCAGGCCUGUUAUCCCCAGGCUCAAGGAGACACAGGGGCUGCUCCCGGCCCACGCGUGUCCCCUCCCCAUCUCCCGCUGGCCCUGUGAACCCUGCUCCUUCUUCCCCCGCCGGACCGUCUUGGCUGGAGCAGAAGUCACAGCUCUGCCGCUUCCCGGCUGUGUGGUCUUGCGCAGGUUGCUAAACCUGUCUGAGCCUCAGUUUCUGCACCUGAGAAACGGGACCCCUGCCAGUGCUUCCCCGCCCCCCAGCCCCUGACAGGACUCCCCAGAGAACGGGAGAGCCAGGAACCUGCCCGGCGGCUGCCCUGGCCCCGGCCCUCCCGCCAGCCUCA